AACAGUUGUUGGGAUGGUGCUCACAGAAACAGGAAGCCCACAGGAAGCCGCCGGGGAACAAACAGGAAAGAGCGAGCCGGCUCCCUCCUCCACCGGCGGUCUCCUUCCAGCGCCCUGUCGGCAGAGCCUCCCACAGAGGCCACUGCAGAGCGGAAAUGAGCCUGCGGGAUCCCAGCUCCAGCCCCCCAGGGCCAGCGACUUCCUGACGGACCCAGGCGUCCUGCUUCAGGUGUUCUGCUUGGUGCUGUGGACUCCUGGAGGUCAGGGACAGCCCUGAUCUCUCUGUGACCUUCUCAGGGAUUGGCACCCUUCCCGGGCAGAGCAGGCCCUAAGAAGAGAUCCACAAAGAGCCCAGUGCCUCAAAGGGAGGCUAAUUGAGUCCAAGGACUGACGGCGGGCCUGGACCCAUUGGCAUCCUGCCAGCCAAGAAGCACCUGCUUCCUUCAGAAUUUAGCUUUCCUUUGUUGAAUGCAGCUCUCAGAAUUGCCUUGACUUUUCUUGGUGGGAUAUGUGAGAUGGAGCCUAGAAAUCCUGCAGCCAUUUUGCUCCCAGAGGGAAACCAGCCUUAGCCUGAAGCUGAUAUUAUGAAAGAGAGAGCAGAGAUGGGACAAUACUGGAUCCUUGAUGAUGUUGUCACUGAAUCAACCCACUCUGAUCCUGCCUCUGAAGUUUCUGUUUAUCUGAGCUAAUAAAUCGACUUUAUUGUUAACCAAUUUGAGUUGAUUUUUCAAUAAAUUUAACCAAAGUUUUCUAACUGAUAA
rnacentral:lncRNA from 1 species